rnacentral:misc_RNA from 1 species
AAGUCGUAACAAGGUUUCCGUAGGUGAACCUGCGGAAGGAUCAUUAAUAAAUGUACGCCUAGAGAGAGUCUUAAACUACUUGAUCUAGUGCUGUAUAUAACCACCUGUUUACCUUUACCUGUUGCUUCCGUGGAAUUACGGGUGCUCUUUCUGUUCGCAGACUUGAGUUACCUUCCACGGGUGUAUUUAAAAAAUUGUCUUGCUGAAUUGUCUGAUAUAAAAUUUUAAUAAGUUAAAACUUUCAACAACGGAUCUCUAGGUUCUC